UACGUAGGGGGCAAGCGUUGUCCGGAUUUAUUGGGCGUAAAGAGCGUGUAGGCGGUUUGGUAGGUCCGUUGUGAAAACUCGAGGCUCAACCUCGAGACGCCGGCGGAAACCAUCAGGCUAGAGUCCGGAAGAGGAGAGUGGAAUUCCCGGUGUAGCGGUGAAAUGCGCAGAUAUCGGGAGGAACACCGAUGGCGAAGGCAGGUCUCUGGGCAUUAACUGACGCUGAGGAGCGAAAGCAUGGGGAGCGAACAGG
rnacentral:rRNA from 1 species